rnacentral:tRNA from 1 species
GGGCGGUUAGCUCAGCGGUAGAGCACUCCCCUCACACGGGAGGGGUCGCAGGUUCGAUCCCUGCACCGCCCACCA